UACGAAGGGGCUAGCGUUGCUCGGAAUUACUGGGCGUAAAGGGCGCGUAGGCGGCCUUUCAAGUGACGGGUGAAAUCCCUCGGCUUAACCGAGGAACUGCCUGUCAGACUGGAAGGCUUGAGACCGGGAGAGGUGAGUGGAAUUCCCAGUGUAGCGGUGAAAUGCGUAGAUAUUGGGAGGAACACCAGUGGCGAAGGCGGCUCACUGGACCGGUACUGACGCUGAGGCGCGAAAGCGUGGGGAGCAAACAGGG
rnacentral:rRNA from 1 species